rnacentral:rRNA from 1 species
AUUGAACGCUGGCGGCAGGCCUAACACAUGCAAGUCGAGCGGCAGCGGGGGAAAGCUUGCUUUCCCGCCGGCGAGCGGCGGACGGGUGAGUAAUGUCUGGGAAACUGCCUGAUGGAGGGGGAUAACUACUGGAAACGGUAGCUAAUACCGCAUAACGUCUUCGGACCAAAGUGGGGGACCUUCGGGCCUCAUGCCAUCAGAUGUGCCCAGAUGGGAUUAGCUAGUAGGUGGGGUAACGGCUCACCUAGGCGACGAUCCCUAGCUGGUCUGAGAGGAUGACCAGCCACACUGGAACGGAGAGACGGUCCAGACUCCGACGGGAGGCAGCAGUGGGGAAUAUUGCGCAAUGGGCGCAAGCCUGAUGCAGCCAUGCCGCGUGUAUGAAGAAGGCCUUCGGGUUGUAAAGUACUUUCAGCGGGGAGGAAGGUGUUGUGGUUAAUAACCAGAGCAAUUGACGUUACCCGCAGAAGAAGCACCGGCUAACUCCGUGCCAGCCGCCGCGGUAA